UACGGAGGGUGCAAGCGUUGUUCGGAAUCAUUGGGCGUAAAGCGCGCGCAGGCGGCUUUCUAAGUCCAGAGGUGAAAUGCCGGGGCUCAACCCCGCGCGUGCCUCGGAUACUGGGAGGCUGGAGACAGGUAGAGGCGAGCGGAAUUCCGGGUGUAGCGGUGGAAUGCGUAGAUAUUGGGAGGAACACCGACGGCGAAGGCAGCGCCCUGGCCGCCAUCUGACGCUCAGGCACGAAAGCUGGGGGAGCGAACAGG
rnacentral:rRNA from 1 species